AUUGACAUUUCACCACAUUUCGCCAGGAUAACGCAAAUGUUGCUUUGAAGUGUUCCGAGCAUGCGAGACUCCUAAUUUGUUGAAAUCUCGCCGAAGUUCAUUUUCCACUGGAAAAUGCCCAUCGA
rfam:Drosophila virilis strain TSC#15010-1051.87 Ctg01_17381, whole genome shotgun sequence.